GCCAGUGUAGUGUAAUGGUUUGAGCAUUAGACUAGGACUCUGGAGACCAGGCUUCAAAUCCUGGUUCAGCCA